rnacentral:rRNA from 1 species
AUUGAACGCUGGCGGCAGGCCUAACACAUGCAAGUCGAGCGGAUGAAGGGAGCUUGCUCCUGGAUUCAGCGGCGGACGGGUGAGUAAUGCCUAGGAAUCUGCCUGGUAGUGGGGGAUAACGUCCGGAAACGGGCGCUAAUACCGCAUACGUCCUGAGGGAGAAAGUGGGGGAUCUUCGGACCUCACGCUAUCAGAUGAGCCUAGGUCGGAUUAGCUAGUUGGUGGGGUAAAGGCCUACCAAGGCGACGAUCCGUAACUGGUCUGAGAGGAUGAUCAGUCAAACUGGAACUGAGACACGGUCCAGAAUCCUACGGGAGGCAGCAGUGGGGAAUAUUGGACAAUGGGCGAAAGCCUGAUCCAGCCAUGCCGCGUGUGUGAAGAAGGUCUUCGGAUUGUAAAGCACUUUAAGUUGGGAGGAAGGGCAGUAAGUUAAUACCUUGCUGUUUUGACGUUACCAACAGAAUAAGCACCGGCUAACUUCGUG